rnacentral:rRNA from 1 species
CAGCAGCCGCGGUAAAACGGAGGGUGCAAGCGUUGUCCGGAUUUAUUGGGUUUAAAGGGUGCGCAGGCGGGGGGGUCAGUCCGCGGUGAAAGACGAUCGCUCAACGAUUGCAGUGCCGUGGAUACUGCCCUUCUUGAAUCUGGUUGAGGCCGGUGGAAUUGACCGUGUAGCGGUGAAAUGCAUAGAUAUGGUCAAGAACUCCAAUUGCGAAGGCAGCCGGCUGGGCCAGCAUUGACGCUCAGGCACGAGAGUGCGGGGAUCAAACAGGAUUAGAUACCCCAGUAGUCCCUGUCUCUUAUAC